AGAAUUGCAUACUGAUUUGCGCGAAUUGUCAUCGCGAAGCGCACGCGGGCAUUACGCAGCUUCCGGCGGAGACGUCGGAAUGAAACAGGGUGAAUUGUCCCGCGUAAAAAGUGGGAUCCCGCAACAGGCGGUGACUGGAAGCCGUCGUCGGUAACGACACGGUAAUCAGCAGCCAAGCUCGAUCAUCGGGUCGAGAAGGUUCAGAGACUAUCCUUUCGAGGAGUACCUCUCCGGCAAACGCUGGGGCGGGAAGCGCCCUGCAUCCAUGCUCGUUUGAGAAGGAUGAAGAUAUAGUCCACGCUUUCGGGAAACCGAGAG
rnacentral:ribozyme from 1 species